UACAUGGGGUGCGAACGUUGCUCGGAAUCAUUGGGCGUAAAGCGCGCGUAGGCGGUUACUUAAGUUGGAUGUGAAAGCCCUCGGCUUAACUGAGGAAGUGCAUCCAAAACUGAGUAGCUAGAGUACGAAAGAGGGUCGCGGAAUUCCCGGUGUAGAGGUGAAAUUCGUAGAUAUCGGGAGGAACACCGGUGGCGAAGGCGGCGACCUGGGUCGAGACUGACGCUGAGGCGCGAAAGCGUGGGGAGCAAACAGG
rnacentral:rRNA from 1 species